rnacentral:rRNA from 1 species
GGUUAAAAAGCUCGUAGUUGGAUUUCUGUCGAGGGUGGCCGGUCCGCACUUUGUGCGUGCAUCUGGUUCAGCCUUGGCAUCCUCUUGGGGAACGUAUCUGCGCUUAAUUGCGUGGUGCGGUAUCCAAGACUUUUACUUUGAGGAAAUUAGAGUGUUCACGGCAGGCAAUCGCCUUGAAUACAUUAGCAUGGAAUAAUAAUAUAGGACCUCGGUCCCAUUUUGUUGGUUUCUGGAACUGAGGUAAUGAUUAAUAGGGAUAAUUGGGGGCAUUCGUAUUAACGUGUCAGAGGUGGAAUUCUUGGAUUACGUUACCGACGAACUACUGCGAAAGCAUUUGCCAAGGAUGUUUUCAUUGAUC